GCCACGCGCAGAGCCGUUGGCGCGCGCUGGCUGACGGAACAGCCUUGCGGCGGGCCCCUCGACGACGCCGGCAGGCCUGGCCGAGGUGGCCAGACGUUGCCCAGCCGCCCGCCACCCGCCGGUGGCCCGACCACCGGCCCGCCCCGCCCGCUUGGCGAGCACUGAGAUAUAGCUAAGCGCGACUACUACUGAAAAAUGCCAACGCAGGAAACUGGAACGCCGAGUGCCACCCGACGCCAGUCGUCAACCACAGAGGGACAUCAAGAAAGGCCGCCCAAAAGGCUCGAGGAGGACAAGGAAGGCGAGGGCGUGAACCGCGGGCCGGCGCCAAGUAGGACCUCAGAAGUCGUGCGUCACUCGACCAUGAGCCACGACAUUAUGAAUAUUUCCGAGAAAAUAGUAUCACUGAACAUGAGAAGAAACACCGGCAGUUUCUAUUCAAGGAAAUAGCUGCCUUGAUCGAGACUGACCUCAACGACAUCAAAGUGGCUCUGUGUGGUAGCCUGGUGUCAGGACUUGGAGCCAAGGACAGUGACAUAGACAUGACUCUACUGACGAAAGCAGACCACGGUGAUGAUCUGGGCUUGCUCAACGAUGUGGCAGGCACAUUGAAAAGAUAAGGUAA